rnacentral:lncRNA from 1 species
AAAGGCUGGUGCUCGGCAGGAGGAGGACGCGGGCUGGGGCCGUGGGGCGGCGUGAGGGUAGCCCGGGAGCGGUGAGGAGCGUGCGAGGCCCACGUGAGCGGAGGGACGCGGCCGCUCUCACCUUUCCUGAGGGCCCUGGCCCGGCUUUGGACUCCUGAUUCUCCUCUGCUUGCCAGCUGCCGCCCCGCCUCCGCCAGUGGUGCCCGGGCUGCCUGCGCGGCCGGAGUGAACGCGUCCCGGGAGCAGGGGUUUCUCCGAAGUGAGUGCGCCAGCCCCGGGACGAGCUCGUUCGAGUCCUCACCGCCCAGUGCACUUCCUGAAAGCCGGCGGUGGGCUGUCUCCCACCUUGUGAAACUUUGCCAGGUGUCGCUCACAGGGGACUGGGUCCGGACGCGGGUGGCGGCGCUGGUUUGCGGCCCCGGUUUGCGGCCCCGGCGCCGCGAUCCCGGGCCGCGCCCACGCCCAGGCUGGAGGCACCGUGCGCAGGUGGGGACGCGCGGCCGGGAGGUGCGCAGCGGGACCCGGCCGGCCGAGGGUGAGCGCUGCUGGGGACGCUCCUAGUCUGUAACGCUCUGUGAAAAUUAUUUCCUGGAUAGUUUAGGAAAAGCCUCUCCCUUCCCCGCCCCUAAACCUCUAUCUUUUGGGAAUCAUUGAUUUGCUAAAUGACAUUUCGGUGCCUAACCCAUUUUGAAUCCUUGUUCUGCUGUGAAUUUCAUGUGACUGGAGGAAUUUAAUAAGCUACCAACUUGACAGGCUUUAAACUUAAAAAAAAAAAGUUUUGUUACGUUUUUCAGAUUUAGGCUUCCAAGAUGUUUACACUCGCACUGUUACUUUUUUUUUUUUUUUUUUUUUUUUUUAGCAACAUAGUCCAAAUUUUUAAAACUCAGCUGGAUCUUUUGAGGGUUAAUUAAAAGGUGGGUUAAAAAAAAUCUUAAGACUUUAAAUUUAGAAGUCCUACUACAGCUAUGUAGUAGGAGUAUGCAGAAAGAUAAGAAUCACAUUGUAACUCUUUGCGGUGGUGCUGGAACAUCUGUUGGGAGAGCAUAUGCUGAACUCUGUUCACCUCACAAGUUUAUGUCCUAAGAGGCUCAUUCACAGUUCAGUAAAAGGGUGAACUGAAGCCUGAAUCAGUUUCGGGGAUGAAAGGGUGAGAGGGAGAACUGUUUUCAGCACAUUUGAGGUUGGCAAAAUAUAUAAAAGUCACUCUUUCUUGUAAUUUGCUAGUUCUUUACAGUCUUUAGAUGUAAUUUACAGCCAAGAAAACUUUAUUAUGAGGACUUAUACGUCAUUGCCCUUUUUUGCUGUCACCCUCAACUACCCUGGGAUCUUCUACUCAUAUCUCAUCUCCUGUUCCCACUUUUCUAAAGCUUAGGGUGAAAUACUUAGGCAACUAGUAAUAAUAUUAAUCUUGCUAGAUAUUCACAGGUUCAUAGUGAGCCAGCUGUCUAGAUCUGGAUAUCUAGUGAGCAAAUAAAUUCUUUACCUCCGAGUUGAUUUUUGUUUUAUUGAUCGAUUGACACAGUCUUGCUCUGUCACCCAGGCUGGAGCACAGGCUCAAGCAGAUCCUCCUGCCUCAGCCUCUCAAGUAGCUGGGACCACAGGCACGUGACACCACACCUGGCUAAUUGUUUGUAUUUUUUUGUAGAGACAGAGUCUCACCAUGUUGCCCAGGCUGGCAAAUUGAGUUUUAUAUGUGACGCAGUCAAAGGGGCAUUUUCCUUGGCAAUAAGAAGCCAUUUGAUAUGAACUCUCCACAAUAGUUGAUGCAUACAUUUUAUACCAGAAUUCAAAUUUGUAAUCAAUAAUGAUUACUUGGGUGUUUAUAGCUUUGGCCAACAUUAAACAAUAUAGUGAUCAAAGCUUAUACACAUAAGUGACAUAUACCAUGAUUUAAUGAUUUUGGUUAUCCAUCAGCUGGACAAUUUGUUGUUUAUCUCCGUCUCUGCAUACUGCAGCUCACAAGGAGGCCUCAAUGUUUUUUCCAUGUUACCAUAAGUGAGAGAACACAUUCAGUAAGAGUGAAAAAACGCUAGUGCUUUUGAGGGAGGGGCCCCGAUGGAAGUCCCACUGUGACAUGUGAGUUUUUAAGCUGGGAAAACUACCCUGAUGAUUCUAGUAAGACUCCCUAGAAAGGGAUUCCUCUUAGCCAGCCUACCUGUUGAGAACACCUGCUCUAGAUUUUCUGAUUUUUUUUUGUAUUCCCUGCAUAAUCAAAUCAUGUGGGCCAGAUAACAUUAUUGUGAUAGUGGUGAGUGUGUGGUUUGUAUCCAAAUAUUUUAUAAAGAAAUAUAUCUUGUAACAAAAACCAGGACACAAAGUAUUAUUGUCUCUUGUCCCCAGAUGAUAUAUAUAUUUUUAACUUCCCAUACUACACUGAUGUACCUAGAUGAUGUUUAAUGCACAUUCAGUAUAUUGUUUUAUUUGCCUUUUUAAUAGUGAAAGGUGUCAUUAUUCAUAUACCAUGCCAUACCGUAAUAUAGCUGGUAUUAUUGUCCAAGUAUUUAUAUGUAACCAGAAAACUGAUUCCAAGUGAAGGUUUGGAUGAAGGCACUAGUGACGGAGGAGGCUUUUCAACCCUCCUUUUUGCAGCUGGGUUGCUGCAAGACAUUUCACCAAAACCUCAGAUAACUGGGUGGUUCAGGGCAGCCUGAUACACUAAAAUAUAUCAACUAUAAAAAGGAUGCCCAGAUACGUCCACUUCUACUUCAGAUAUCCUGAAACAGGCAGUCUGAUUCAUAUCAAGAAUUUGUUCCCUAUGAGACCCCUCUCCCACUACACCUCCCUGUUUCCUCCAUUAGAAUAUAAAUAUCUUGAAGUCACUGACCAUGUUUUAUUCAAUGUUAUGUUUUCUCAUCUGGCACACAGUAGAUGUUCAUCCAUAUUUGUUGAAUAAAUGAAUGAAUGAAUGAAUGAACAGUGCUCCCGUAACAAAAAGUAAAGGCCAGAAACUCUUGGGUCACCUGGAACCUUGUUCCUACCUACCAGGGAAAAGAAAACAUGUCUCAGCAUUAUCAGACUAGCCCUGAGAUUCACUCCAGUUGAAUUGGCUGAGGUUCUAUGGCCAUUCUUGAUCAGUCACUGGGGCCAAGGCAGUGAAUCAACUUCAGAACCAUAUGGGUCCCUUCCAAGGAGACCCAGGGCUGUUGGAGAGGGGAAAGAAAAAUAUGAAUGCAGGGAGGCACCAACAUAUGUCUGAUAUCAUUGUACUUUAAUCUGUAGUUUGAUCAUUUAAAUUGCCGUGGGUAUAAGGUACCUCAAAAAUAAAUUUUUGUUUAGUUAGUUCACAUACAGCAUGUAUUUUAAAACAGGUGUUAAAUAUUAAACUGUCUUUAAAGAUUACACUUACAAAGCUGAUCUAAAACACCAGUAAGUUAUCUGCUGAUAUACAACUUAAGGAAAAAAUUAAUUGCAUAUUAAAAUUAAAAAUACAAGUUUUUGUUAAGGUUUACAAAAAUACGGUGACAGACUUGAGAUAGAAAUUCUUGGUGGUGUUACUGUGACAAGUAUUUCCAUUGGUAACCUGGGAAUCCAUGCCCAGCACUGUGGUAUAUGGCGUAUUUUCUGGAAGACUAGCCUUGGAUUGAAUUCACAGUCUCCCUGGAGUUGUGGUUCCAUUUGUCAGAAAGAUUCUUAGGGAUUUAGACUGACCAGGCUGUCAUGUUCUCACACUCAUACAUUUGUAAUUUUUGGAAAAACCAUAAAACCCACCAGUCUUUGGAGACUGUCCAGAAAUAAACUUGAUUCUAAACUGGUUUGGUUUGGAAAAUCCUUAGGCUACUUGUGUUAAAAAUUAAAGAACUAGCUGGGCAUGGUGGUGUGUACCUGUAGUUCCAGCUACGCAGGAGGCUGCGGCAGGAGGAUUGCUUGAGCCCAGGAGUUCGAGGCUGCAGUGUUCUGUGAUUGCGUCUGUGGAGCGCCACCGCACUUCAGUCUGGACAACAUAAUGAAACCUCAUCUCUUAGAAAUGAACUGGCUGAUGUUAGGUACUUGCCAGGGUAGACGACCUUAACUAAGCCCCUGGGGUUCUGUGAGACCUCUGCAAAUAGAUCUUCUGCUUAACUGUUCAAAAAGGCAAGGGCUGUCCCCCUCAAAAAACAACAUUGACUUCUAGAGACCCAUGGAGAGAUGGAAGUUUCUGAAGACUGGCUUGCUAGAUAGGAAAAUAACCAAUGCUCCAGCAGUGUUCUUGGGAUUGGAAUUUGCUGAUUCAUGUUUUUUAAAAUGCAUGAUCACAUCAAAUUUGCUGAGCUGUUGACUAUCAACCCAGCCUAAACCCACCGGCUCUUACCCUUUAACUUUCAUAAAAGAGAAGCCUGAUUUUGUUCAGGUAUCUAGCCUUCUCCCAAAGACCCUGUGUGGCUUGAAGGAUACCUUUGCUGGAGCCAUGGAUAGGAUAAAUCUCGAUCAGUAAAACAAUUAGGAAAUCCUGUACUUUUGCAAUUGGUUCGGAAUGAUUCGUACAUGACAAAGGACACACGAGGCAAUUUGGAGGGGCUCUCAUUGGCCAAAUCUGGCAAAAUUUGAGUAUCAAAAAGAUAAGAUGGUACCAUUGAAUAGAAAGAGAAUCGAACUCCAUAGGGAUUUCAAAGAAAAAGAGGUUGGGGAGGGUGCAGAGAAAAAAAACAACAGCAUCUUUAUAGAAGAGUGCCCCUAAAAAAAUGCAGAAAGAGAGAGUGAGAAAAGUACCACUUUGCUACCACCAAAUGUAAUAAUUGAUUAAGGUAUUUUCACCAUUGAGUGGGAAGUUAAGAAAUGAAACAUGUAUUCUCAAAGUACCACCUCAUUUAAAAAGGAGAAGAGGUACUUUUACACGGAUAAAUCUGAUGAAUACGACCCCAACCAUGUAGUCACAAUAAUGGGACAAUUUAAUAUGUUCUUCCCCAUGUCCUGGAUGCCACUGGAAGUGCACACUGCUUGUAUGUAAUAUUCUUGCCAAAAUGUUUAUGCUGAAUCUAAUCAUGGGGAAGUAAGACAAAUCUGGACUGUGGAACAUUUUAUUAGACAACUGGUCUGAAUCUUCAAAAAUAUUAAUGUCGGUCAGGCAGGGUGGCUCACACCUGUAAUCCCAGCAUUUUGGGAGGCCGAGUUGGGCGGAUCACCUGAGGUCAGGAGUUCGAGACUAGCCUGGCCAACAUGGUGAAACCCUGUCUCUACUAAAAAUACACAAAAUUAGCCAGGCAUGAUGGUGGGUGCCUGUGAUCUCCAGCUUCAGGAGGCCGAAGCAGGGGAAUCACUUGAACGCGGGAGGUGGAGGUUGCAGUGAGCCAAGAUUGCUCCAUUGUACUCCAGCCUGGGCAACAAGAGCGAAACUGUCUCAAAAAAAAAAAAAAAAAGAAAAAAAAAAGUCAUGGCCAGGCAUAAUGACUCACACCUGUAAUCCCAGUACUUUGGGAGGCCAAGCGGGGAGGAUGGCUUGAUCCCAGGAGUUUGAGACCAGCCUGAGCAGCAAGACCCUGACUCUACAAAAAAUAAAAUAAUUAGCUGGGUGGGGUGGCACAUGCACGUGGUCCCAGCUACUCAGGAGGCUGAGCUGGGAUGAUUGCUUGAGCCUGGGGUUGUGCCACUUGCACUUCAGUGUAGGCAACUGAGCGAGACCCUGUCUCAUUUGAAAAAAAAAAAAAGUCAUGAAAGCAAGCACAAGCAGAAGACUGAUUGUUGAGACAUGACUACCAAAUGCAAUUCAUAAUCUGUGAUUAGAUCCCAGAUUUUAAAAAAAAAACCUCUAAAAGACAUUUUGGGAAUAAUUAGGUAAAUUAAGUAAAAUUUAAUAUGGAUUUCUUAUUACACACUGUUAUUGUAUCAAUGUUAACUUUCUUAGAUGAGAUAAUUACUUUGUGGUUAUCUAGGAAAAUGUCUUUGUUUCCCAUAAAUACAUGCUGAAACACUGAAGGAUGAAAUGUCAUGGUAUCUACAUCUUAUUUUCAAAUGGCUCAGAAAAAAAAUUUUAUAGAGAAAUAAAGCAAAUGUGGCAAAAUGUUGAUAAUGGGCAAAUCUAGGUGAAGGGUGUAUGUGUGAACAUUGUACUAUUUUACAUUUCUGUAGCUGUGAUUUUUAUAAAAGUAGAAAAAGUAAAAGUAGCGAAAUGAUCACAAAACAUCCACAGCGUGAAUAAAAAAAUAAAUAAAACUAUAUUAUAUGAACACUGUUUAACAUUUAAAGUUGUUUAACUGGUUUUGUAAAUGGGAUAAAAUAUUAAUCAAAGUCCCCUGAGAGCUAUUCCUAAAAUAGAAUAAUAAGAUUUAUGAAGGGAACUUAAAAGCUUAAUGGAGAACUGGUUUUCUGAAUGUGUCACCUCCAUAUAUUGAUAUUUCAAAAAAUUAGAGAGUGAAACUGGUUACAAUCAACUUGUAAUGGCUUGCAGAGUUAGUGUCCCAAGAGUUAGUGCGACAGUAUGUUCUGAAGGAAACCUGAGACAGUCAAGUCCAAGCAAGGUCAUCCUCAGAGAGAAAUGCUCCUAAAAAAGGCUGCAAAGCAAUCACACUGAAACUGAAUGAUGUGAAAUCACAGUGGAGUUCCCUCUAAGUGAAUUCUCUUAUUUAAUGAAUGCUUGGAAUCUAAAGUAGGGGCAAUUGACAGUAUACACAUUUGCUAAGGUUGAUGCAGCACUUUUCAAUGUUAACAGCUACUGUAUCUGGUGGACGUGGCCUUUUAUCACCAGAAAGACCUACUCUGUCCUGGAGAAGAGUUAGUUCUUUGGGCUUUUCCCUUACCCUCAGGAAAAAUCUCUAAGAUCAUCAAACUUUCUUUCUGUGAUCGUGAUUCAGAGCCAAAUAACCUUUUGAUUAGCAACUCACUUUCCCAGUGUCUUAAUGCUGGGAAACAGAAUAUUCUAGGGGAAUAGAGAUAUAUAACCCACUUGCAGGAAGAUGUUCUGCUUGGUAAAUGAAACCAUUGACAUUCUGAUGUAUCAGUCCCUUGCAAAUUUAGUCAGAGGGGUCACCCCCCACCUGAAUUUUAUCAAUUUGGAAUAAACAAGAUUGCCUAUGUAUGAUGACUUAAACAGCCCCUUGUUCUUGUAUUUUGACAUCAUUUUAAUUUGUACAUUGUUUAAACUUAAAUAACUACUUAGAUCCCAAACAAUACCAUUUCAAGGAUACUGUUUCUUCCUUAUUAAAAAAAAAAAAAAAGCUCGGAGGAAUUAUAGAAAAAAAAUUCUAGUCCGGGUGCGAUGACUCACACCUAUAAUCCCAGCAGUUUGGGAGGCCGAGGCAGGUGGAUCACUUGAGGCCAGAAGUCCAUGACCAGCCUGGCCAACAUAGCGAAACCCUGUCUCUACUAAAAAUACAAAAAUUAGCCGGGCAUGGUGGCACAUGCCUGUAGUCCCAGCCACUUGGGAGGCUAAGGCAUGAGAAUCACUUUAACCCAGGGAGGCGGAGGUUGCAGUGAGCUGAGAUCACGCCACUGCACUCCAGCCUGGGCGACAAAGCAAGACUCUACAAUUUUAAAUAUUACUUAUCAACCUUAGAGGGCUGGCUACAAACCUUAUGUAAAGAAGUAAAUACAUGUUAGAGACUCUUAAAUCCCAUGAACAGCUGAUUGCUUUUUAAAAAAUGUACUUUUAAAACAAAAAUGAUGUUUAAAUUAUGAUCAAAUAAAUGGUGAAUUUCUUUAGUUCAUUUAAAACUAUUCAACUAAAAACAAAUUUGUUUAUAAUGUAGAAAUAUAUGUGUAUUCGUUUUCAUUUUUUCAACUGGUUAUAAUGGAGUUAUGUGGAUACAUUCUAAGCAAAUUAAACCACACUCUUACCACAUUAAUCUCAGAGCUUAUCCACAUAUCAGAACACUAGUUUUAUAGUCUGACUAUACUUGAAAUAUUCACAAAUAUUUAUUUUGCUAUUAAUCCUUGGGUCAAAGUUUAUUUUUCUUGAAUGCAAUAUUUGUAUUUCAAAUGUUCCAUCAACAUUUACAACUUUUAAAGUUUUCAUCAUAAGUCUCAAACAUCUUGCUGUUUUUUUUUAAAUCAUGAAUGGGUAUUGGAUUUUGUGCAAUGCUUUUUCUGGUCUUUUGAGAUGUUGAGAUGAUGCUUUUUCUGGCUCUGUGCUUUAUUAUAUGGUGUAUUAUGUUAACUGAUAAUUCAGAUGUUAAACCAACCUUGCAUUCCUGGGAUAAGUUCCACAUGGUAAUAAUAUAGCAUUUUUUUUUUGUAUAUUGCUAGAUUCAGUUUGCUAAUAUUUUGCUGAGAAUUUUUGCAUCUAACCUCAUGAGGAACAUUGGUCUGCAAUUUUCUUUUGAUGUCUUUGGUUUUAGUAUCAGGUUAUUACUGGUCUCAUAGUAUGAGUUGGGAAAUAUUCCUUCCAUCUCUGUUUUAUGAGUUCAUUAAGGAUGGUAUUAAGUAUUAUUUAAAUGAUUUAUAGAAUCCUCCAGUGAAAACAACUGGACCUGGGAUUCUUUUCAUGUGGGAAGACUUAAAAUUACAAAUUCAACUUCUUUACUUGGUAUAGGUCUAUUCAGAAUUUAUAUUCUUGUUGAAUCAGUAUUGGCAACUUUUAUAUUUCUAGGAAUUUGUCCAUUUCAUCUAAGUUGUCUAGUUGGUUAGCAUAAAGUUCUUCCUAGUGUUCUCUUACAACUCUUUUUGUUUCUAUAAGGUCAAUGGUGAUGUCUCCUCUUUCAUUAUUUUUGGUAAUUUGUGUCUUCUCAGUUUUUUCUUCAUCAGCCUAGAUAAAGUUUUGCCAAUAUUUUGAUCUUUUCAAAGAAUCAACUUUUAAUUAAUUGAUUUUUCUUAUUGCUUUUCUGUUUCCUAUUUCAUUGAUUUCCUCUCUGAUCUUUAUGAUUUCCUUCUUUCUGAUUUCUUUGAGUUUGGUUACUUUUUUCUAGCUUAUUAAGGUGGAAGUUUACAUUAUCAAUUUGAGAUUAUUCUUUUCUAUUGAAGGUGUGAUUAAAGGUACACAUUUUUCCUAUAUAUCCUGCUUUAGCUGCAUCCCAUAUAUUUUGAUAGUUUUUUUCUCUGUUCCAUUAAAAAUAUUUUCCAAUUUUGCUUGUGCUUUUUUCCUUGGCUUAUUUAGAACUGUGUUGUUUAAUCUCUAAAUAUUUUUAAAUUCCCUAAAUUUUCUCAUGUUGUUGAUUUCUCAUUUAAUUCCAUUGUGGCCAGAAAAUAAACUUUGUAAUAUUUCAGUCCUCUGUUUUUAAAAAUUCAUUUGGGCUUGCUUGAUGGCCUAGCUUAUGGCGUGUCCUGUAGAAUGUUUCAUAUGUGCUUAAAAAGAAUUCUGCUGUUGUUGGGUGGAGUGUUCUAUAGGUAUCAGUUAGAUCAAGUUGGUUGCUAGUGUUGCUCUAGUCUUCUAUAUCCCUGCUGUUUUUCUGUCUAGUUGUUUUUAUCAAAUAUUGAGAGUGAAAUAUUGAAAUCUGUAACUAUUUACCAUUUUUGUUGCUCUUCAUUUCUUCUCAUAGAUUGGAGUUACUCUUUGGAACAUUUCCUUGUUCUAGAGCUUCAUUCUCUCCUUCCUUUUUUGUGUUAUUAUAGUUAUCUACGUCACAUCUUUAUAUUUUAUAAGCUCAACAAUAGUUUUAUAAUUAUUUCAUAUAGUUGCAUUUUCAAUUAAGAAAAAAACCAGUCUGGGUCCAAUGAUUCACACCCUUAAUCCUAGCACUUUGGGAAGCCAAAGGAGGAGGAUCACUUGAGGCCAGGAAUUUGAGACAUGAUGAGACACUGUCUCUACAGACAUUUUUUUAAAAGUUAGCUAGGUGGGGUGGUGCAUGCCUAGCUACUCGGGAGAUUGAAGUGGGAGGAUGGCUUGAGCCCAGGAGUUUGAGGUUGCAAGUGAGCUAUGAUCACACCACUGUACUGCAGCCUGGGUGACAUAAUAAGAUCUAUAUCUAAAACAAAAAAAAAAGAAAAAAAGAAAAAAGAAAGAUAUUUAUACUGUCUUUUAUUGUUACAUAUAUUUAAUACUUACAAAAACUACCUUUGAGACUGCUCUGUUUCUUUAUGUGAACUUGAGUUAUCAUCUGCUGUCAUUUUCCUUCAUCCUCAAGGAUUCCUUUAGUAUUUCUUGUAAGGCAAGUCAGCUAGGAACACAUUAUCUCGGUUUUUUUUGUUUGUUUAGUUUUUUGGAAUAUCUUUAUUUGGCCUUUAUUUCCAAAGAAGAGCUUUGCUGAAUAUAGAAUUCUAGGUUGACAGGUUCUUCUUUUUUCCUUUAGUUCUUACAAUAUGUCAUCCUAUUGUCUUCUGGCCUUCACUCUGAUGAAAAUUCAGUUGUUAACAUAAUUGUGGGUUCCCUUGUAUAUAAUGAGUUAUUUUUGUCUUGAUACUUCCAUGAUUUUCUCUUUGUCUUUGGCAGAACCCAGUGAAGAUGAAAAUGUGAAGUCCCUUUGUUCAGAAAUUAAGAGUUUCAAAGUAGUGAUGGGAAAGGCAGCCCUGAUCUUUGGCUUUCAACAAUUUUACUAUGACUUAUCCAUGAUAUGUCAGUGGUUAUUCUGUUUGGAAUUAGUUGAGCUGCUUGAAUGUGUAGAUUAGGUUUUUCAUCAAAUUGAGAAGUUUGGGGCAUUAUUUCUUCAAAUAUUUUCUCUGCACCUUUCUUCUCAUUCUGGUACUCUCAUUAUACACAUGGUAUCCUUCAGGUCUGUGAAGCUCUGUUCAUUUUGUUAUUCUUUUUCUUCUGUUCUUUAGAUUGAAUCUACUUCCAAGUUCAUAGAUUCUUCUUCUGCUAUCUCAAACCUAUUGAACCCCUCUAAUAAAUUUUUCAUUCCAAUUACUGUACUUUUCAACUUCAGAAUUUCCAUUUGGUUCUUUUUAAUAAUUUCUCUCUUUUCAUCAGUAUUCUCUAUUUGAUGAAAUAUUGUUGUCAUCCUUUCAUUUAAUUAUUUAAACAUUAUUUUCUUUAGUUAUUUGAAUGUAUUUAGUCUUUGUCUAGUAAAUCAAACAUCUGGCCCCCCUCAGAGGUGGUCUCUAUUGAGUGCUUCCAUCCUCCCCUUCCACUGUGUAUGAGUUAUACUUACUGUUUCGUAGCAUAUCAUAAUUGUUGAAAACUGAACAUUUUAGAUAAUGUGCUAUACCAAGUUUGAAUUCUGGUCCCCCUCAACUGCAGGUUGUUCUGAUUUCUGUUUUGCUUGUUUGUUUAGCGAUUUGCAUGAACUAAUUCUGUGGAAUCUGGCUCCCUCACAACAUGCAGCAGCUAAUGUUUCUGCUCAGUUAAUAUUAUUAUUGUCGUUAUCAUUGUUUUCACUUCAUGCCUAAUUUCCUAAGGGUUACCCUGGGCCAUCAUAGCUUACUGGUCAGCCAGUGAGUGGUCAGAAGUUGUGCUUAAAACAUCUUGAUCUAAUAAAGCUUCUACUUUUUAACUGACAGAUUUGUGUUUAGGUGAAGAUCACAUGCAGUGUACAGGCAGUUUACAAGUCUACCCUGCUUUUAUUUUUUUUAUUUUAUUAUUUUUUUGAGACGGAGUCUCACUCUGUCGCCCAGGCUGAAGUGCAGUGGCAUGGUCUCGGCUCACUGCAACCUUCACUUCCCAGAUUCAAGUGAUCCUCCUGCCUCAGCCUCCUGAGUAGCUGGGAUUACCGGUGCAUGCCACCACGACUGAGCUAUUUUUUUUGUAUUUUUAGUAGAAACGGGGUGUCACCAUGUUGGCCAGGCUGGUCUCAAGCUCCUGACCUCAAAUGAUCCUCCUGCCUUGGCCUCCCAAAAUGCUAGAAUUACAGGCAUGAGCCACCAUCCCGGGCCAAGUCUACGCUGAUUUUAGUAUCUGUAUCAUAAAGCCUCAUAUUCAGUCAGCUACAUAGCUAGCUAAAGCCAUCUCUGGCCUCUCCUGAGCAUAUGCACAAUUAUGCAUAUGCAGGCAGUCUUCCAGACCCCCAGGGAUAUGUGAGAGCUUAUCAGUGCCUACUGUGGCUGUCUCAGUCCCCAGAUCACACUGUUAAAUUUCUGGUUGGUCUGCUGGUAUGUUGUUUACCCUAAACAGUGUUGCAACCUCAGGCUAGCUGCAAUACUGGACUUCCCUGAUUGUUUACCACUGAGAUCCCUAUUGUUUUUGACAGUGCUCCUGGGCAUAGGUUUUUUUCAAGCUCUGGUACAAAUGAACGCAGCCCCUUCUGCCAGCUACCUCCCAUGACCUGCUCUGUCCUGGUAGAACUACCACACGAUGAAGCUAUGGGAAAAGGGUAGAUAGGAACAGCCCCGGGGUAAAACACCACAGACCUCCACUGAGCUUACUAAAGUUUAGUGAUUUUUUUUCAAAAUAAUUUCCUUUCAAGUUGUUGUAUGACUUUGGUCAAUUUACAGUGUACUGACAUGGUUGUUUUUGAUAAUUUUGUCAAAUUUUAUCAUUGCUUUUUGGGGAAAGGAUUUGCCAUGCUUCUUCCUCAGGCAUUCUGGCAAUCCUUCCGUAUUUUUUGUAAGUGGUUUCUAUAGGGGUGCAAUAGACAUUCUUAACUUUUCACAGUAACUUUAAUGUUGUUUCCACUUUAUGCAAAAUGUAGAAACCUUGUAAUAGAAUAUAUAGAUUCAUUUACCACAACUCAUGGUAAACACUUCCCCUGUCUCCUGUUCUUUUUUUUUUCAACUCCCAGUCAGUGAAUAGAUCUGCUCUUCUUUAUGCCUUAGUUACUGUAUAUCUACCUACAGGUUUCAGGAUUUGGAUUAAGUAAUGAUUGGGCCCUCUUUCAUUCAAAAAAUACAAAUGCUUUGAAGAGAGAAAAAACUAUAACAAAAACUCUACAUGUGUUCUGCAUCUUUACAUGUGUUCUCAUCUCUUUAUGUGUUCAAUAUGUAUAGUACAUGUCUCAUGGUUUAGAAUUCUUGAAAGAGGAAAGAAAGCCUUUAUGUUUUAGGGACUAGUUACUAAAAGAAUGGCUGUAAUUCUUUUACUGUAUAAAAGGUGCAAAUGGUUAUUUGGGGCAAAGGUAUUAUGUGCAGAGUGAGUGAUCUGUGAACGCUUGCAAUACCUUUACCCUUGUGCAAUCACUCAGAACUGAACUUACAUAUCUUUUACACAGGAGAGAAUUGGCAUCCACCAAUGUUUUGCUACUAUUGAUCCCAAUCACUAAAAUCUCUUAGAAAUUUCAGGAAAUGGUAUAUUUUCCAUCCCUUACUAUUCUAGUUUAAAGCAUUAAGAUUGGGGAAAAUCUUUUACACCUUUGUUUCUGGUUUUUUUUUCCUUUGGAAUAUAAUUUAUUUACUUUUCAAUGCUAUCUUUUAGGAUAUAUUUUUUCUCUUGUCCUAAAAUUAUCUCUUGGUGGAGGGCACUGUUAACUUUUUGCUUUGUGUGUGUGUAGGCUCAUGUUAUGCUAUGUGUAUGCUAUUUUAUGCUAUGUGCCUGGUUAUAACACAUUUAUCUAUUUUGGAAAGUUAAUUUUUAGCAAUCAGAGAACAUGUUUAUCUCACUUGCCAAGAAUAGAUACUUUACGUUUCUGUUGCAUUUCUUGUCUGCAGUGUUUCUCAUCUCUUCCCAAUUCUUUUAAAUCUUAACCACGCUUGAGAACCCAGCUUGAAUCACGGCUGGUUCCAGGACUCUUCCCCGGCUCUUCCACCUGGAAAUGGUCUUUUCCUCCUUCCUUCAUUUAUUUCGCAAAUAAAUAUUGAGUGCCCACUCUUUGUAAGACACUGAUUAGGUAAUAGAAGCUAUGUAAAAGUUGUGACAAAUAAUUUUGCACUGGUAGAUAUGUGUUUCUAUGCAGUCAUGCACUGUAUAACAAUGUUUCAGUUAACCUAGGUUUGUAUAAGUAUACUCUAUGAUGUUUGCACAACAGUGAAGUCACGUAAUGAUGCACUUCUCAGAACAUAUUCCCAUCGUGCAGAGAUGCACAAGUAUAUCAUAUUUUCUCGGUUAAAUUGUGAUUUACUUGGGGGUACAUCCUUCUCCUUAUUGUUUCUUGUAUUCCUUAUAAAAUUUAGCAGGGUGACUUCUACAUAGUAAGGGUUCAAGAAAAAGCUGAAUUUAUAUGAUUAUAUUUGUAAAUUUUCUUUAAAUAUACUUAGGUAUGCAAGACACAAAUAGUUCUUUUCUUUUUUUCUUUUGAGACAGAGUCUUGCUCUGUUGCCCAGGCUGGAGUGCAGUGGUGCGAUCUUGGCUCACUGGUUAAAGCAAUUCUCCUGCCUCAGCCUCCCAAGUAGCUGGGAUUACAGGCACGCGCCACCAUGCCCAACUAAUGUUUGUAUUCUUAGUAGAUACGGGGUUUCACCAUGUUGGCCGGGCUGGUCUCAAACUCAUGGCCACCUUGGCCUCCCAAAGUGCUGGGCUUACAGGUAUGAGCCAUCACUCCUGGCCUAGGACUGAGUUAUUUGAAUGCAAAUCAGGAAAUGGCACAUCGGAAUUUAUUAUUUAUUUUAUUUUAUUUUAUUAUUUUCUAGAGAUGGGGGUCUCUCUAUGUUGCCCAGGCUGGCCUCAACUCCUAGCCUCAAGUGAUACUCAUCACAUCAGAAUUUAGGGUACAAAUAUAGUCCAUAACAAUUGGAAAUUUUAGUCCAGUCACCUCAUUUUCCAACGCUAUGAUAAACAUCCUUGUGAAUGCUGUUCUCCUGGUCUAGAAGGCUCUUCUCAGCCUUCUGUGUGUCUAAGGCCCACCAUUCUUCAUUGUCAGGUUCCACCACUUCCAGAAGACAAUAACCUGUCUUCCCCAACCAUUUCAGUCCAUACGGGUGCCAUCUCCCUCUGAACUACUGUAGCACUUACCACCUAGUUCAGCAACCAGAUUUCCCCAGCAACUCUUUCUAUGUGGAAUUCUUGUCUAUUCUACGGGAUAUGGACCACAUUAUAUAUAUACUUCUCUUUAUGCCUGUGUGUCAAAUACAUUACUGAUUAAAGCUUGGUUUUAAAGUCCAAAUGUGGUCAUAUUGGUGAACUGCUAUAAACCUUGCAGAGGCAUUAGUAAAAUAAAGGACUUCUUUUGGUACAAAUUAGAUGUGUGACAGGCUGCUUUUAACAGAGUAUUGGCUUCACACAACUUUAAGUAGUGAUUUUACCAGAAAUGUUUACAUUAAACAGCCUUUUUAGAAAGUAAACUGUUACAACUAUCUUGUAAAGUAACCUAACAAUAUGUAUCAAGAAUCUUAAAACUUUUCAUACCUUUUAGUGCACCUAUUUUGGGGAGUUUAACUUAAGGAAACAAUCCUAAAGCAGAAAAAUAAAAAGCUUUGUAUGUAAACAUGUUUAUAAUAGGAUAUCAGUAAUAUUGUUGUUCCCAAAAAAGUGAAUGAGCAAAUACAUUAUAUAUACGUAUACAUACACACACAAUAUUUUAUAUGCUGAUUGUUUCCACUUGUAUUUC